rnacentral:piRNA from 1 species
UUACGAGAAAAUGAUUGAGGC